GAUGAAGAACGUAGCGAAAUGCGAAAAGUAAUGUGAAUUGCAGAAUUCAGUGAAUCAUCGAAUCUUUGAACGCACAUUGCGCCCGCCAGUAUUCUGGCGGGCAUGCCUGUCUGAGCGUCAUUUCAACCCUCACGCCCCUAGGGCGUGGUGUUGGGGAUCGGCCAAGGCCCGCAAGGGACGGCCGGCCCCUAAAUCUAGUGGCGGACCCAUCGUGGCCUCCCCUGCGAAGUAGUAAUAUAUUCCGCAUCGGAUAGCGAUGAGCCCCUGCCGUUAAACCCCCAACUCUUUCAAGGUUGACCUCAGAUCAGGUAGGAAUACCCGCUGAACUUAAGCAUAUCAAUAGCGGAGGA
rnacentral:misc_RNA from 1 species